rnacentral:rRNA from 1 species
CACGUAGGGGACGAGCGUUGUCCGGAUUCAUUGGGCGUAAAGCGCGCGUAGGCGGCCCGGAAAGUCGGUUGUGAAAUCCUGGGGCUCAACCCCAGGACUGCGUCCGAUACUUCCGGGCUGGAGGCAGGUAGGGGAGAUCGGAAUUCCUGGUGUAGCGGUGAAAUGCGCAGAUAUCAGGAGGAACACCGGUGGCGAAGGCGGAUCUCUGGGCCUUGCCUGACGCUGAGGCGCGAAAGCUAGGGGAGCGAACAGGAUUAGAUACCCUGGUAGUCCUAGCCGUAAACGUUGGGUGCUAGGUGUGGGCGGAUAUCGACCCCGUCCGUGCCGAAGCUAACGCAUUAAGCACCCCGCCUGGGGAGUACGGCCGCAAGGCUAAA